AGCGAACGUUUGCGGCGGGCCUAACACAUGCAAGUCGAACGGGUUGGCAACAACCAGUGGCGCACGGGUGCGUAACACGUAGGUAAUCAACCCCUCGGUUCGGGAUAACGUUCUGAAAGGAGCGCUAAUACCGGACUCGUCGUCGGGAGCCUCGGCUCCUGAUGAGAAAGACCCGCAAGGGUUGCCGAGGGACGAGCCUGCGGCCCAUCAGCUAGUUGGCGAGGUAAUGGCUCACCAAGGCGAAGACGGGUAACUGGUCUGAGAGGAUGGAUCAGUCACACUGGAACCUGAGACACGGUCCAGACUCCUACGGGAGGCAGCAGUGGGGAAUAUUGCGCAAUGGGCGAAAGCCUGACGCAGCCACGCCGCGUGAGCGAUGAAGGUCUUCGGAUCGUAAAGCUCGUGUGGGGAGAGACGAAGAAAGCCGGUGAAGAGCCGGCCUUGACGGUAUCUCCUUAGCAAGCACCGGCUAACUCCGUGCCAGCAGCCGCGGUAAAGUCG
rnacentral:rRNA from 1 species